rnacentral:rRNA from 1 species
CAGCCGCCACGGUAAUACGGAGGGGGCUAGCGUUGCUCGGAAUUACUGGGCGUAAAGCGCACGUAGGCGGCUUGGUAAGUUAGAGGUGAAAGCCCGGAGCUCAACUCCGGAAUUGCCUUUAAGACUGCCGAGCUAGUAGGUGAGAGAGGUAAGUGGAAUUCCGAGUGUAGAGGUGAAAUUCGUAGAUAUUCGGAAGAACACCAGUGGCGAAGGCGGCUUACUGGCUCAUUCUAGACGCUGAGGUGCGAAAGCGUGGGGAGCAAACAGGAUUAGAUACCCGCGUAGUCCCUGUCUCUUAUAC